rnacentral:tRNA from 1 species
GGGGAUGUAGCUCAGAUGGUAGAGCGCUCGCUUAGCAUGCGAAAGUUACGAGGAUCGAUACCUCGCAUCUCCA